rnacentral:rRNA from 1 species
CCCUUAGAUGUUCUGGGCCGCACGCGCGCUGCACUGACGAAUGCAACGAGCUUAUAACCUUGGCCGAAAGGUCUGGGUAAUCUCCAAAUUUCGUCGUGAUGGGGAUAGAUUAUUGCAAUUAUUAAUCUUCAACGAGGAAUGCCUAGUAAGCGCAAGUCAUCAGCUUGCGUUGAUUACGUCCCUGCCCUUUGUACACACCGCCCGUCGCUCCUACCGAUUGAAUGGUCCGGUGAAGCGUUCGGACCGUGGCCUUUGGACGGUUCGCCGUCUGUUGGCUGCGGGAAGUUCGUUAAACCUUAUCAUUUAGAGGAAGGAGAANUCGUANCA